GACGAACGCUGGCGGCGUGCUUAACACAUGCAAGUCGAACGAAGAGCGACGGAAGCUUGCUUCUAUCAAUCUUAGUGGCGAACGGGUGAGUAACGCGUAAUCGACCUGCCCUUCAGAGGGGGACAACAGUUGGAAACGACUGCUAAUACUGCAUACGAUCUAACCUCGGCAUCGAGGAUAGAUGAAAGGUGGCCUCUACAUGUAAGCUAUCACUGAAGGAGGGGAUUGCGUCUGAUUAGCUAGUUGGAGGGGUAACGGCCCACCAAGGCGAUGAUCAGUAGCCGGUCUGAGAGGAUGAACGGCCACAUUGGGACUGAGACACGGCCCAGACUCCUACGGGAGGCAGCAGUGGGGAAUCUUCCGCAAUGGACGAAAGUCUGACGGAGCAACGCCGCGUGAGUGAUGACGGCCUUCGGGUUGUAAAGCUCUGUUAAUCGGGACGAAAGGCCUUCUUGCGAAUAGUGAGAAGGAUUGACGGUACCGGAAUAGAAAGCCACGGCUAACUACGUG
rnacentral:rRNA from 1 species